ensembl:lncRNA
CUGCAGUCAAAGAGAGUGGAGCUGGUCUGUGUCUGGUUUAAUGUUGACGCUUCAACGGCGUUCUUUUUGACGAGGAUGACGCAGACUCCAGUUUUUCUCCAGCACAGUCAAGGUUCCUAUCACUCAUCACAGAGAAUGAGCUUAAAGAGGACAACACUGUGUGGAGGGUGCUCUAGUGCAUCAGGGUGGAAGAUGGGGUGAAUUCCUCAAGAACUAAAAUCUGCAGUCGUUGCAGAGAAUGGCCUUCAGUAAAAGUCAUAAAGCUGCUCGGCUGUAUUAGCAUGCUGGGUUCAGGGAGUUCUGGAUGGACAGAAGCAAAUGUGGAUCAGCACCACUGCACCUGAUUCUGGGUAAGUUGUUGUUAAAGGGGGUCAUUUGACCGCGGUAGAGCUGCUCUGAAGAAUUUACAGUUCGCUGUGAUGAUGAUUUUUCCUGCCAUUCGUAGUUUCCACCAGAGGUUUAAACACCAAAGAUGGUUCAAAUCUUCCUUGGAUGUCUGAGCGAACACUUAAAGUUUAACUCUUGUUAUUAACAUGUCGUCUUUCAAAACUGACUGUACCUCAAUCUGUUUCAGGAUGAACGUCUUCAGUUAUGCCCACCAGCUGUAAAUCCGUUGCGUCACCAAAGCUGCAGCCGGUAUGUAUUUGUUAAUAUUUUGGACUUCAUCUCUUGAAAUGGUUUCGCUGUGAUGAUGAUUUUUCCUGCCAUUCGUAGUUUCCACCAGAGGUUUAAACACCGAAGAUGGUUCAAAUCUUCCUUGGAUGUCUGAGCGAACAUUUAAUUCAUGUUGUAUCUUCUUGUCUCUUUCUGACUUAUGUAUUGACCUAAACUCAAUCUCACUUUCAGGCUGAAUGGAUGUUUCUGUGAAGGAUAGACCUGCAGAUUCUCCAGAACUAGUGUUGGUGGUCAGAGUUCCUGAAGCUGGUACGUAUUCCAAGCUGUUCUUGGCUAGAAUGGAGAUUGACAUUUUGCCACUUUAGUUACAAAAAUAGUUUUUGGAACUUUUUUUUUAAUAAUUAUCACUAUUUGAACAUUAAAAAAUUGGGACACAUUACUUGUGUAUAUAUGUGCAAGUUUGUACUCUGUGCUUUAAAGUCCUGGGGUGUUGUAGAUGUGUCCCCUGUAACUUUGACUGUAGUGAUUAAACUCUUAAUUGGAUUUCUCCCCAAAAAUUGUACAUGCGCUCGCUAUCAUAUGUAUUUUUCUCUUUUCCUUUUAAAUGCUUGUGAAGUUGCACAGUUUGGAUUAAAACAUGAAGGGGAAAUGUUCGCUGUGAUGAUGAUGAUUUUCCUGCCAUUCGUAGUUUCCACCAGAGGUUUAAACACCAAAGAUGGUUCAAAUCUUCCUUGGAUGUCUGAGCGAACAUUAGAGGAUUGUAGCUCUGCUUUUGAACAUCUUUGUUUUAAGAACUAACUUGAUUUUUAUUCUCACUUCAGGGCAUUUAUUGCCACGGAUACAAGGCUAAUCUGUGGAUCCUCCAGACUGUUAAAGCUGGUAUGUACGGUAACUUUAUGAAGUCUUAAGUCUUUGAAGAGUUUGUCGCUGUGAUGAUGAUUUUCCUGCCAUUCGUAGUUUCCACCAGAGGUUUAAAUGCCAAAGAUGGUUCAAAUCUUCCUUGGAUGUCUGAGCGAAUAUUAGAUUGUAGCUUUGCUUGUGAACUCUUCUCUUCCAGAGCUAACUUUAUCUCAAUUUAUCUCACUUUCAGGCUGGACGUCAACGUUGAUGGACCUGCAAUCAAAGAUAACUCAGCUUUUUUUUUUUUUUUUUUUUUUUUUUUUUUUUUUUUUUUUGCCCUGCUCUUUGAAAGUUGGCUGUAGUCUUAAACAUUAAUUUAAUGUUAAACAAAAAACAAGCUAGCAGUUUUUUGUGAUUAUAAAUGAGUUGUUCUUAGACUUAAAAUGACUGUUUGUUCUGUACAAGUAAAUAAAAAAAACAAUAGGUGUGGA